rnacentral:rRNA from 1 species
AUACAGAGGGUGCGAGCGUUAAUCGGAAUUACUGGGCGUAAAGCGCGCGUAGGCGGCUGAUUAAGUCAGAUGUGAAAUCCCAGGGCUCAACCUUGGAACUGCAUCUGAUACUGGUCAGCUAGAGUGUAGGAGAGGGAAGUAGAAUUUCAGGUGUAGCGGUGAAAUGCAUAGAUAUCUGAAGGAAUACCAGUGGCGAAGGCGGCUUCCUGGCCUAAAACUGACGCUGAGGUGCGAAAGCGUGGGUAGCAAACGGGAUUAGAAACCCUAGUAGUCC